UUCCAAUAUACACCUUGCCGUCGAUUGCGAUUUGCUUUGUCCAUUAUAUUUCCGGAUUUGUGUCUUCAUUCUUCCGGAUCUCGGACAUUGCUCAAGUACAAGAGCACCCCUUGACUGCCUGGAUACCAAGUGCAAAGAACUGACUAUGCGAAGUGUAAAUCAUUCAAACCUUUAUUUUACACCUCAGAACAUCCACAACGAAACAGCAAUAAACGUCUUUAUUUCUGAGAUUAAAACAACCGGAUAUUGUGAGCCCUCUAUACCGAAUGAUUGCCGGUAUAUGAACCAAUCUUCCUAUCUAAUCAACGAUGGACCUUUCAGUUUUCAGGUAACACUUACAGGUUUACCUGCACUAAGGUAUUUUCCACCGACACUUCCAG